rnacentral:rRNA from 1 species
UACAGAGGGGGCAAGCGUUGUUCGGAAUUACUGGGCGUAAAGGGCGCGUAGGCGGCCCGCUAAGUCGAACGUGAAAUCCCUCGGCUUAACCGGGGAACUGCAUCUGAUACUGGAUGGCUUGAGUUCGGGAGAGGGAUGCGGAAUUCCAGGUGUAGCGGUGAAAUGCGUAGAUAUCGGGAAGAACACCCGUGGCGAAGGCGGCUCUCUGGGACGGUACUGACGCUGAGACGCGAAAGCGUGGGGAGCGAACAGG